rnacentral:rRNA from 1 species
CGGUAACACGGAUAAGCCGUAAUCAUGCAUGUCGAGCGAAUGGAUUGAGAGCUUGCUCUCAAGAAGUUAGCGGCGGACGGGUGAGUAACACGUGGGUAACCUGCCCAUAAGACUGGGAUAACUCCGGGAAACCGGGGCUAAUACCGGAUAAUAUUUUGAACUGCAUGGUUCGAAAUUGAAAGGCGGCUUCGGCUGUCACUUAUGGAUGGACCCGCGUCGCAUUAGCUAGUUGGUGAGGUAACGGCUCACCAAGGCAACGAUGCGUAGCCGACCUGAGAGGGUGAUCGGCCACACUGGGACUGAGACACGGCCCAGACUCCUACGGGAGGCAGCAGUAGGGAAUCUUCCGCAAUGGACGAAAGUCUGACGGAGCAACGCCCCGUGAGUGAUGAAGGCUUUCGGGUCGUAAAACUCUGUUGUUAGGGAAGAACAAGUGCUAGUUGAAUAACCUGGCACCUUGACGUACCUAACCAGAAAGCCA